rnacentral:rRNA from 1 species
UGAGGGAUAUUGGUCAAUGGGCGCAAGCCUGAACCAGCGACGCCGCGUGGGUGAAGAAGGUCUUCGGAUCGUAAAGCCCUUUUCCCACUGAAGAGGAAGGACGGUAGGUGGGGAAGAAGUCUCGGCUAACUACGUGCCAGCAGCCGCGGUAAAACGUAGGAGACAAGCGUUAUCCGGAGUUACUGGGCGUAAAGGGCGUGCAGGUGGCGUCUUAAGUCUGUUGUGAAAGCGCCUGGCUUAACCGGGCGAGGCCAAUGGAGACUGAGAGGCUGGAGGACGGCGGAGGUGUGUGGAAUUCCGGGUGUAGUGGUGAAAUGCGUAGAGAUCCGGAGGAACACCAGAGGCGAAGGCGGCACUCUAAGCCGUACCUGACACUGAGACGCGACAGCACGGGGAGCAAA